rnacentral:rRNA from 1 species
UACGGAGGGGGUUAGCGUUGUUCGGAAUUACUGGGCGUAAAGCGUACGUAGGCGGAUUAGUAAGUUGGGGGUGAAAUCCCGGGGCUCAACCCCGGAACUGCCUCCAAAACUACUAGUCUUGAGAUCGUGAGAGGUGAGUGGAAUUCCGAGUGUAGAGGUGAAAUUCGUAGAUAUUCGGAGGAACAUCAGUGGCGAAGGCGGCUCUCUGGUCCGAUACUGACGCUGAGGUGCGAAAGCGUGGGGAGCAAACAGG